GGGGAAUAUUGCGCAAUGGGGGAAACCCUGACGCAGCAACGCCGCGUGAAGGAAGAAGGUCUUCGGAUCGUAAACUUUUGUCAUUUGGGACGAAGGAAGUGACGGUACCAAAUGAGGAAGCCACGGCUAACUACGUGCCAGCAGCCGCGGUAAUACGUAGGUGGCGAGCGUUGUCCGGAAUUACUGGGUGUAAAGGGCGCGUAGGCGGGUAAGCAAGUCAGAUGUGAAAUACCGGGGCUCAACCCCGGGGCUGCAUUUGAAACUGUUUAUCUUGAGUGCAGGAGAGGGAAGCGGAAUUCCUAGUGUAGCGGUGAAAUGCGUAGAUAUUAGGAGGAACACCGGUGGCGAAGGCGGCUUUCUGGACUGUAACUGACGCUGAGGCGCGAAAGCGUGGGGAGCAAAC
rnacentral:rRNA from 1 species